rnacentral:rRNA from 1 species
UUAUAAUUGAGUAAUAUUCCAUUGUAUACAUAUACCAAAUUUUAAUAAUCCGACCCUGCUUAGCUUCUGAGAUCAGACGAGAUCUGAAGCGUUCAGGGUGGUAUGUCUACA